rnacentral:rRNA from 1 species
AAUCCGGUUGAUCCUGCCGGACCUGACUGCUAUCGGAUUGAUACUAAGCCAUGCGAGUCAUUGUAGCAAUACAAGGCAGACGGCUCAGUAACGCGUAGUCAACCUACCCUAUGGACGGGGAUAACCUCGGGAAACUGAGAAUAAUACCCGAUAGAACAUUAUGCCUGGAAUGGUUUAUGUUUCAAAUAAUUUAUUGCCGUAGGAUGGGACUGCGGCCUAUCAGUUUGUUGGUGAGGUAAUGGCCCACCAAGACUAUUACAGGUACGGGCUCUGAGAGGAGUAGCCCGGAGAUGGGUACUGAGACACGGACCCAGGCCCUAU